rnacentral:lncRNA from 1 species
CACCGCAUCAUUACGUGGGAUCGGGCCUCUAACAAAGCUUUAAUUCUUAAACCUCAACAUCAAUUUUAUGAUACCUUUAUUUCUUAAUAUUUCCUGUUUGCCAAGAAAUAAAUUCACAAGAAAUACUUUUUCAUAAAUAUAAUCGGCCAUAAAUCACGUGCAUGCACGUGCUGGAUGGAUCAUUUCAGACGUUGUCCAUGGAGACGUCUGGUCUCUGGCUAACUUAGCUUAAAACAAUUGACCCCCAUCACCUCCUUGCCAGC